UACGUAGGGGGCAAGCGUUGUCCGGAUUUAUUGGGCGUAAAGAGCGUGUAGGCGGUUUGGUAGGUCCGCUGUGAAAACUCGAGGCUCAACCUCGAGACGCCGGUGGAAACCAUCAGGCUAGAGUCCGGAAGAGGAGAGUGGAAUUCCUGGUGUAGCGGUGAAAUGCGCAGAUAUCAGGAAGAACACCCGUGGCUAAGGCGGCUCUCUAGUACGGUACUGACGCUGAGACGCGAAAGUGUGGGGAGCGAACAGG
rnacentral:rRNA from 1 species